rnacentral:misc_RNA from 1 species
GGAAAAUGUAAUAAGAAAAUAUUAACGGCGGCUUGGAAAACAUUUUAAAGGUUAUGGGUAACCAAGCCGUAAAUCGUUCCUGUUUCACAUUAUGACAAUUUAAGUCUUCAUUUAAGAAUGACCAAAGCCGUACAUUGAUCGCAUCUUUAGGAAGAAAAUGUCUUGUUGUAUGGGUAGCGAUCAAUUUGGCAUAAGCUUGAUCGCCACAUUCUUGAAGGUGAAAAAAAAAA